UACGGGGGGGCAAGCGUUGUUCGGAAUUACUGGGCGUAAAGGCUCGUAGGCGGCCAACUAAGUCAGACGUGAAAUCCCUCGGCUUAACCGGGGAACUGCGUCUGAUACUGGAUGGCUUGAGGUUGGGAGAGGGAUGCGGAAUUCCAGGUGUAGCGGUGAAAUGCGUAGAUAUCUGGAGGAACACCGGUGGCGAAGGCGGCAUCCUGGACCAAUUCUGACGCUGAGGAGCGAAAGCCAGGGGAGCAAACGGG
rnacentral:rRNA from 1 species